CCUUUACUUGAGAAUGCAAAAGUUUCUCCUUUUUUCCCCCCUUAGUUACUUGUCGUUGAUUUCCUCUUUGACGUGUUGUUUUGUUCUUCCGUUGAUGAUUUGGGUUUCGUUUCGGCGUUUAAGGAAGUGGGUUUGCGAAGAAAAGCUCUGUUUCUGGAGAUGAGGGGUUCUGGCUGAAAAUUUGGUUCUUAAUUGUCGGAUCAUGUGGAAGUUCGUAUUCCUUUUCGUAGUGUCGGCGUCAUCUCUUGUCUCUUUGUCGAACCACUUGAUUUCCACGCUUUCUUUGCCUUUGCUUCGUUGCUAAUCAUAAAUGGGUCCGUACGUUGUCGAAGUUAUGAAUGAGACACGGAGUUUUUGUAUUAUUUUCGACUAUUCUUUUUUGUCCAUGUCCAUGCUUGAACGUUGGUAGCCGCCUACUACUUCUAAUUAUUUGCAAUUGAGAUCGUAUGAUGGCUGUGCUAUCUGAACAUCUGAUUCAUUUUGCCUCUGGGCAAUUUGAGUGGAUAUGGUUCUUGUAACUUUUCAUAGUACUUUGUCUUGUUAGUUUGGUUCUAUGAGUAAUUACUAGAUGGUGUUAUGGUCCCAAUUUUAUUAACUUCUUUGCCAAUAGAAAGAAUAUUCUUUACCUGAAUGCAUAGGAUUGAUCGUUCAUGGUAUGGCUUUGGAUAUAAUUAGAUUCCUCGUUUUUGUCAUCCAGAUCUUUUAUUUUCCUCUAUUUCAUCAAGUUGGUUGUACAUUGCACUGGGUCACAUGAUCAUGUCCAAACAAGAUCCCGAUGUUUUACGCUGGGGCCUCCAUGAUCUGGAUGUUUGCUCUAUUUCCAACGCCGGUUCAUGUGGCAGUGUAACUCAAUAUGAUCCAGACUUGAGUAGUGUCGAAUAUGUUAGAGAAGGCUACGUCGAAGCAGAACAACCAGGCUACAUUGAAGCAGAACAACCAAGUGUGGAGAAUGAUGAGCUUAUUGCACAUGCUUUCCAAGAAGAACUUUCACGACUCGCUCUUGAGGAAACAUCUGGUGCAUCGACUUCUGGAAAUGAACAAUUACAAGCUUCAGUUUUGACCCAGGAUUGGCUCGCACCUUCGAAGAGAUACUCUGAUGCUGAAGGAUGGGAAAAUGGUCAACAAUUGGAAGAUCGGAAAGAGGUUGAAAUACGUGAUGAGGUGGGAAAGGCUUAUUCAUGCUCCAGCCCAGGAGAAAAAUCAGGCUCUGAUGAUGAUGUGGAUAUGCUACACCUAGCAGAUGAAUCUGUGCUUGAUGGUGAAGUUGGCAAGCGGUUGAAUCAGAUGGUCCCUGUUCCUCAUGUGCCUAAAAUUAACGGCGAGAUUCCUUCUGUAGAAGACGAGGUGUCGGAUCAUCAAAGACUGCUAGACAGGUUACUGUUAUACGAUCUUGUUGAAAAUAAAGUCCAGGGAGAUGGUAACUGCCAGUUUCGUGCUUUAUCAGACCAACUGUAUCGAUCACCUGAGCACCACAAAUUUGUCAGGCAGCAAAUUGUUCAACAGCUGAAGUCAUGUCCACAGAUGUAUGAUGGCUAUGUCCCAAUGGCUUUUGGGGACUAUUUGAAGAAAAUAAGCAAGAGUGGAGAAUGGGGUGAUCAUGUCACAUUGCAAGCUGCUGCAGAUUCCUAUGGAGUCAAGAUUUUUGUGAUCACUUCUUUUAAGGACACGUGCUACAUUGAGAUCCUUCCACAUAUAUCCAAGUCUAAGCGAGUCAUUUUCUUGAGUUUCUGGGCAGAGGUGCACUACAACUCAAUUUAUCCUGAAGGAGGUUAGUCUUUGUGCUUUUGUUGCCUGGGGUUGCCUUAGGAAGUUAAAAGGUGUGCUCUGUGUAUAUUUUAAGUGACUAAUUUUGCAUGUCUUGGUGAUGCCGAAAGAAGUCGUGGUACAUUCAUAUAGUUUUGAGUGACUAAUUUUUCAUGUCAACAAGCUUUCUUUUUCUGAUUUUGAUUUUUUUAUCAGAUAUUCCCUCUUUCACCUUCUACUUAUACAUUUGUUCGUCAAGUGCUGUAUAAGUUAUGUAGUCUGUUCUUUCAUUAGCUUGUCUUUAGUUUUAAGCCUUCUCCAACAUCCAACAUGAGAGGAGGCAUUUUUCACCUUGUCAAAUGGUUCUUUUAAAGGACGCAGAUGACCUCAGUUGCUCCUAGAACACCUUCUUUUAUCUGAUAUAAUUGAAUUUAGCAAUCUUGAUGAACAUCUCGCUACUCAUAUGAAUCUAGACAUUUUGUGGUUGCUAGUGAAGAUGUGAGACAACUACACGUGCAUCGUAUUAGCUUUAUGUGCAGUGGCUUUUAUUGAGUUGAGAAGCACUUGAUAAAUUAUAGGACCAAAGCUCCUAGAUCUCUUGUGGAACUUGGAAGAAUUGUGCGAGUGAAAUCGGAUCCUUGUGCCCACUUUGGCCUAGUAGCUUCUAGUGUUGACAUUGCAUCAUGCCCGGUGGCCAGUCUAUGUACUGGAUAUUGCAAUCAACGUUCAAGGCCUCCACACAAUAGCGUAAACCUUUGACAUUUUAUCUGAAUAAAUAUAUUUUUCCAGCAAAGGUUUGCAGUUUUAUUAGGCCAAGCUGGUCUGCUUAUAGAAUGGUUUUCUUGUUAGCGAUAAUUGUUUUCAACCAUAAUGCUAUUCCGUCGUAAUUCAGGCAGUGGAUUACAAAAACUGACUAAGGUUUCUCAUGUUAAUGGUAUCAAGUGUAGCUUUUCUAACUCCCAAAGGCUAGAAAGAGAAAGUUUUAGGUGUUCUUUGUAAUUAUGUGGAAGGGUCAAACCUGUCUUCAUCUUUUAUAUGUGCUUGUACUUUACGUAUGUCACAUGAUUUUCUUCUUGUUAACGCUCUCUAGUAGAAGCCAUUAUUGUUUCCACGAACAAACUUUUUUUUUUUACUGGUUGAGGACUCUAUUUUUCAUUCAACUAAGCGGUAUCGUGUGUGUACUGACCGUAGUCCAGUUAGCCUGUUGAUUUCUUGUGGAUUUUCCUUAAAACUCUGCUAUGGUUAUUAGGGAGCUUUAGUGGCGCUAACAUAAAUGUAAGUCAUAUCUCAUCUGAUCGUGUGUUCAUGUUCCGAUCAAGUAGCUCUACUUUUUACUAUCCUUUGCUCUUAUGUGUGCUGCUGCCAGGGAUUUAUGUCAACAUCUGCUUUACCUUGAUGGUUAUAGAAGAAAGAGGGAAAAAAUGAAGUAUAUUGUUCGGUUCUGUGUUUUCUAUGUUGUGAUAUGACUCGAUUUUUUGCUUCUUCUUCUCAAUGGUUUGCAGAGCUGCCUGAGCUGUCUGACUGUAAAAAGAAGUGGUGGUGGUGGGUGUUCUGAAAUUAUGCUGGACCGUUCUCAUCACACUUGGAUUGUCCCUUCAUGUUUUGUCGAUUGGAGCUCUAUUACUUUCUCCAUUCUGUCUUCGGUGGUCCAUUGUGAUGGCUGUGCUGCGUCUCGCGCAUCCAUAACUAGCCCAAGGGCGAUGAUGUUUACAUAUAGGAUUUAGCUAGUGAUGACAGUGUUCUCUCAGUUUCUUUCUCUCUGUACAUAUUUUUCCUCUGAGCCCUCGGACUUUAGUUGGUCACAUUCUAUUUCAUCUCUUGUAAAUAGUGGGAGAGGGGUUCAGAUUCUCAUUGAUUGAUUGGUUCGUUAUUUGUACAUAUUAUAACAGGUUCUGUAGGCAUUCUCUUG